rnacentral:rRNA from 1 species
CUUGGUCAUUUAGAGGAAGUAAAAGUCGUAACAGGUUUCCGUAGGUGAACCUGCGGAAGGAUCAUUACCGUGUGAACCGUGUCGAGGGUUCGCCCUCGGCUUCGCACGCCCCCUGCGUAUGCAUCUGGUUCUUCGGCGUGGACGUUCGAGACUUGUCAUGAGUUUCGGCCGUCGCCCUCCUUCCUUCGGGGAGGAAGGUGACGUGCACCCGCCGAAAGACAUCAAAACCUACCUUUUUUAGAUGAUGUCUGAGCAUUUUGAGAAAUCAAAUAAAACUUCAACGAUGGAUCUCUUGGUUCCAGGAUCGAUGAAGAACGCAGCGAAAUCGAUAAGUAAUGUGAAUUGCAGAAUUCAGUGAAUCAUCGAGUCUUUGGAGCACAUUGCGCCCCUUGGCAUUCCGAGGGGCACGCCUGUUCGAGCGUCAUCAGACCAUCAAGCUCCGCUUGGUAUUGGGUCACCCAUCCACCGGAUGGGACCUCAAUGAUGUUGGCGGUACGGCCCGACCCAAACGUGACGACAUCAAGUGAGGGAAAGGAACGAACCUGCCCAAUCACCCUUUAUUUUUUCAAGGUGACCUCGGAUCAGGUGGGGAUACCCGCUGAACUUAAGCAUAUCAAUAACGGAGGA